GACGAACGCUGGCGGCGUGCCUAGUACAUGCAAGUAGAACGCUGAAGGAGGAGCUUGCUCUUCUGGACGAGUUGCGAACGGGUGAGUAACGCGUAGGUAACCUGCCUGGUAGCGGGGGAUAACUAUUGGAAACGAUAGCUAAUACCGCAUAACAGUAGAUGUUGCAUGACAUUUGCUUAAAAGGUGCAAUUGCACCACUACCAGAUGGACCUGCGUUGUAUUAGCUAGUUGGUGGGGUAACGGCUCACCAAGGCGACGAUACAUAGCCGACCUGAGAGGGUGAUCGGCCACACUGGGACUGAGACACGGCCCAGACUCCUACGGGAGGCAGCAGUAGGGAAUCUUCGGCAAUGGACGGAAGUCUGACCGAGCAACGCCGCGUGAGUGAAGAAGGUUUUCGGAUCGUAAAGCUCUGUUGUAAGAGAAGAACGAGUGUGAGAGUGGAAAGUUCACACUGUGACGGUAUCUGACCAGAAAGGGACGGCUAACUACGUG
rnacentral:rRNA from 1 species